GGGCCUGUAGCUCAGUCGGUUAGAGCAGGGGACUCAUAAUCCCUUGGUCGCUGGUUCGAUUCCAGCCAGGCCCACCA
rnacentral:tRNA from 1 species